rnacentral:rRNA from 1 species
GGAGCGAGCGUUAUCCGGAUUCAUUGGGCGUAAAGCGAGCGCAGGCGGAAAGAUAAGUCUGAUGUGAAAGCCCCCGGCUUAACCGAGGAAUUGCAUCGGAAACUGUGUUUCUUGAGUGCAGAAGAGGAGAGUGGAACUCCAUGUGUAGCGGUGGAAUGCGUAGAUAUAUGGAAGAACACCAGUGGCGAAGGCGGCUCUCUGGUCUGUAACUGACGCUGAGGUUCGAAAGCGUGGGUAGCAAACA